UACGGGGGGGGCAAGCGUUGUUCGGAAUUACUGGGCGUAAAGGGCUCGUAGGCGGCCAACUAAGUCAUGCGUGAAAUCCCUCGGCUUAACCGGGGAACUGCGUCUGAUACUGGAUGGCUUGAGUUCGGGAGAGGGAUGCGGAAUUCCAGGUGUAGCGGUGAAAUGCGUAGAUAUCUGGAGGAACACCGGUGGCGAAGGCGGCAUCCUGGACCGGCAUUGACGCUGAGGCGCGAAAAGCUAGGGGAGCAAACGGGG
rnacentral:rRNA from 1 species